GACGAACGCUGGCGGCGUGCUUAACACAUGCAAGUCGAACGGAAAGGCCCUGCUUUUGUGGGGUGCUCGAGUGGCGAACGGGUGAGUAACACGUGAGUAACCUGCCCUUGACUUUGGGAUAACUUCAGGAAACUGGGGCUAAUACCGGAUAGGAGCUCCUGCUGCAUGGUGGGGGUUGGAAAGUUUCGGCGGUUGGGGCUGGACUCGCGGCUUAUGAGCUUGUUGGUGGGGUAGUGGCUUACCAAGGCUUUGACGGGUAGCCGGCCUGAGAGGGUGACCGGCCACAUUGGGACUGGGAUACGGCCCAGACGGCUACGGGAGGCAGCAGUGGGGAAUAUUGCACAAUGGGCGGAAGCCUGGUGCAGCAACGCCGCGUGCGGGAUGACGGCCUUCGGGUUGUAAACCGCUUUCGCCUGUGACGAAGCGUGAGUGACGGGAAUGGGUAAAGAAGCACCGGCUAACUACGU
rnacentral:rRNA from 1 species